GCUUUGAUAAAUUCGCUCCAAUCUGUCUGCAACAGGUAAAUACCACAUACGACUAUAUGGUAUCUUCGUUCGACGUCGGUUUUCAUUAGGCUUCCAUCUUUGUACACCACAAAAGAGACAUUUAUCUUCUUUUUUUUUAUUUUUGAUCAAGAGAGACAUUUAUCUUCUUUUUUGUCAUCUUUCCAAAAUAUCAUACAAUUGUUGAUACAAACAUCAAUUGUAUGAUAUGGGAGCCCUAAAUUGCGCAUAAAUUUUU
rnacentral:lncRNA from 1 species